GACGAACCGUGCGAACGUUAUUCGGAAUCACUGGGCUUAAAGGGCGCGUAGACGGAGGACCGCGUCGAGUGCUGAAAGCCCCCGGCUCAACCGGGGAACUGGCCUCGAGACGGGUCCUCUCGAGUGGAGGAGGGGGACCUGGAACGUCCGGUGGAGCGGUGAAAUGCGUUGAGAUCGGACGGAACGCCGACGGCGAAAGCAAGGUCCUGGACUCUCACUGACGUUGAGGCGCGAAAGCCAGGGGAGCGAACGGG
rnacentral:rRNA from 1 species